rnacentral:rRNA from 1 species
GAUAAUGGCUCAGGAUGAACGCUAGCUACAGGCUUAACACAUGCAAGUCGAGGGGCAGCAUGAACUUAGCUUGCUAAGUUUGAUGGCGACCGGCGCACGGGUGAGUAACACGUAUCCAACCUGCCGAUGGACUCGGGGAUAGCCUUUCGAAAGAAAGAUUAAUACCCGAUGGCAUAGUUCUUCCGCAUGGUAGAACUAUUAAAGAAUUUCGGUCAUCGAUGGGGAUGCGUUCCAUUAGGUUG